rnacentral:rRNA from 1 species
GAAAGUAAGCAAGGGCAGACGGUGGAUGCCUUGGCUCUCGGAGGCGAUGAAGGACGUGAUAAGCUGCGAAAAGCUCGGGGGAGGCGCAAAUAGCCCUUGAUCCCGGGAUAUCCGAAUGGGGCAACCCGGCAGGCUGAAGGCCUGCCAUCCCGUAAGGGAGGCGAACGUGGGGAACUGAAACAUCUAAGUACCCAUAGGAGGAGAAAAUAAACAAUGAUUCCGUAAGUAGUGGCGAGCGAACACGGAAGAGCCCAAACCCGUGCCGUCUAGGCGACACGGGGGUUGUAGGACCACGACGUGGCAAGAUAGAGUCAAGUGGAACGCCUUGGAAAAGGCGACCGUAGAGGGUGAUAGUCCCGUACACGACUGACGAUUGAAGCCUAGUGGCAUCCUGAGUAGCGCGGGGCACGAGAAAUCUUGCGUGAAACUGCGGGGCCCAUCCCGUAAGGCUAAAUACUCCCGAGAGACCGAUAGCGAACCAGUACCGUGAGGGAAAGGUGAAAAGAACCCCGAGCAGGGGAGUGAAAUAGACCCUGAACCCGUCUGCCUACAAGCGGUCGGAGCAUCGUCAAGAUGUGACGGCGUGCCUUUUGCAUAAUGAACCUACGAGUUACCUUCCCCGGCAAGGUUAAGUACCUAAGGUACGGAGCCGAAGCGAAAGCGAGUCUGAAUAGGGCGGCCAGUCGGGGGGGGUAGACGCGAAACCGAGUGAUCUACCCUUGGCCAGGUUGAAGGUUGGGUAACACCAACUGGAGGACCGGAUGGGUAAGCGUUGAAAAGCUUUCCAAUGAGCUGAGGGUAGGGGUGAAAGGCUAAUCAAACUCGGAGAUAGCUCGUACUCCCCGAAAUGCAUUUAGGUGCAGCCUCUUUAUAGUAUAUCGUGAGGUAGAGCGACUGAUUGGAUGCGAGGGCUUCACCGCCUAUCAAGUCCAGAUAAACUCCGAAUGCGCGAUAUAUAUUUAAAGGGAGUGAGGGCGCGGGUGCUAAGGUCCGUGUCCGAGAGGAGAAGAAUCCAGACCACCGGCUAAGGCCCCCAAAUGAUCGUUGAGUUGAACUAACGAGGUCGGAUCGCAGAGACAGCUAGGAUGUUGGCUUGGAAGCAGCCAUUCAUUUAAAGAGUGCGUAACAGCUCACUAGUCGAGCGAUCUGGCGUGGAUAAUAAUCGGGCAUAAACGAUCUGCCGAAGCCGUGGAUGUCGUAAGACAUGGUAGGGGAGCAUUCCAUGCGGCGUCGAAGAUGAGGGAUGACCCUUGUUGGAGCGCAUGGAAAAGCAAAUGUAGGUAUGAGUAACGAUAAGGGGGGCGAGAAACCCCCCCGCCGAAAGACCAAGGUUUCCUGAUCAACGCUAAUCGGAUCAGGGUGAGUCGGGACCUAAGGCAAAGCCGAACGGCGCCGCCGAUGGAAGAAUGGGUUAAUAUUCCCAUACUGCCUCAUGGAGUGACGUGGAGACGGAGAAGUGACAGUCCUGCCGGCUGACGGAAUAGCCGGUUGAAGGGUGUAGAUAUUGAUUCCCGUAGGCAAAUCCGCGGGGAGAGUCGAACCUGACAGUAUACCGAGUACUUGUACGAGGUAAUAUGGACGUAACCAUGCUCCCAAGAAAAUCCGCUAAACUUAUCCAUGCGGCACCCGUACCGUAAACGGACACACGUGGUCGGGUUGAGAAUACUGAGGCGCUCGAGUGACUCACGGUUAAGGAACUAGGCAAAUUGACCCUGUAACUUCGGGAUAAAGGGUCCUCGUCGUAAGGCGAGGCGCAGAGAAUAGGUCCAGGCAACUGUUUAACAAAAACACAUGGCUGUGCUAAAUGGAAACAUGACGUAUACAGCCUGACACCUGCCCGGUGCUGGAAGGUUAAGAGGAGAUGUCAUCGCAAGAGAAGCGUUGAAUUGAAGCCCCAGUAAACGGCGGCCGUAACUAUAACGGUCCUAAGGUAGCGAAAUUCCUUGUC